rnacentral:rRNA from 1 species
GUCUACAGCCACAACACCCUGAACACACCCGAACUCAUGCGAUCUCGGGCGAUCUCGGAAGCUGAGCAGGGUCGGGCCCGGUUAGUACCCGGAUGGGAGAAACAUACAUCCUGUGGGCG